ACCCGACCACACGAAGCUGGAAUCGCUGUAAUCGCGAAUCAGAAUGUCGCGGUGAAUACGUUCCCGGGUCUUGUACACACCGCCCGUCACACCAUGGGGGUCAGCAACGCCCGAAGUCAGUGACCUAACCGAAAGGGAGGAGCUGCCGAAGGCGGGGCCGGUAACUGGGGUGAAGUCGUAACAAGGUAUC
rnacentral:rRNA from 1 species